CAGUCUUAAUCUGAUCUCUUCCCCUAGGAUGGCUCCUAUUAUUUGGCAGAAAAUUCUUAAGGGAAGGUUCUUAAAAAAGGUUGAGAAAGUUUUAGUAGCUCCCUCAGAGCCUUUACUUAUAAAUGUUUCAGUUUGGAGUACAGUUUUCAAUUCUUCAGGGCUCCAGAUUUGGGACUUGGUCAAUUUAUAUGGUAGACAAAGAGCAAUUCUCUCAGCAAAGCUAUUUUUCCCUUGCGUCACUGCAGACUUGUUAAUCUUAGUCCAAGUCACAUAUCUCUUGUAGGGCUUUGCUGAAAAGAGGCAAGAAGCAGCCAACACAUGCUAGCACUCUGAAGUUCUACCACCUUCGUCUCUGUGGCAGGAAGUCUCAACCUCACCUUGACUUCUGUUGGCAAGAAGUCUCACUGCCCAAAGCCCUACCUCCUCAACUAAGCCAACCCCAGAUUUAGGGCCUUCGACUUGCUGUGCUUUACUUCUAGCUGCCAAAUUCUGUAUAGGUCAAGAUUCUUGGCUGUAAGCAAUGAAAUCUUCUUUAGCUAUUAAACAGAAGGGAAUUGAUGAAUGAGUAUAUAUAGGUCACAGAAUCAAUGGGAGGGUUGAAGAAACAGAUCUAGGCUGAGCUUCUAGGAAUUAUGUCACAAGAGUAGGCUGCUGAAAGAGCUGCUGCUUUUAGAACAAUCAAGAAGCUGCCUGCUGGAUUAGGAAGCUGCCUGCUGAACAGUUGCCAGUUCCAGAGCCACACCACCUCUGCCAUGCUUUAUGCCAGCAAAAAUAGAUACAUCUCUUCCUGCCUCUGUCCCCACGUUACUUGGCUCUGAGUAAAAGUCUCAACCAUGAAGUACAAUCAAGAAGAAAUUGAAAAACAGUCAGAGUUAGAUGAUGAGCUUCAUCGUUUGUCAUGCAGGAUUUUUAUCCCCUGAAGAACCUGCUAGAGAAGUCCACCUUCACCCUUAACCACUGGUGCCUCAACUUAAUACUUUUAAAAUUCAUUUGUUUCUG
rnacentral:lncRNA from 1 species